CGUGUAGGCGGGCAAUCGAGUCAGAUGUAAAAGGCGACGGCUUAACCGUAGUAUGUCAUCUGAUACUGGUUGUCUUGAGUUCGAGAGAGGGUGGUGGAAUUCCCGGUGUAGCGGUGAAAUGCGUAGAUAUCGGGAAGAACACCAGAAGCGAAGGCGGCCACCUGGAUCGGCACUGACGCUGAGACGCGAAAGCGUGGGUAGCAAACA
rnacentral:rRNA from 1 species